rnacentral:lncRNA from 1 species
GUCACUGUGUGUAGUACUCUUUAUUGUCAAUAAAAGAGUUGGACCAUAAUUAUAAUUGACUACAGUAAUUGGUGAGUGACUAAUUAUUAUCAUAACUUCAAUUUGUUCUCCAUUUUGGCAUCCUGUGCCAUCUCUUCUGGUACCUGUAUUAAACAUCUCAGAUAAAUCCUGCAAAAAAAGAUAACAUUAUUAUACCACAAUCAUGUUAUUACACAUCUUUAGUAAUUAACAAAAAUAUAAAUAAGUAUUACAUAUAUGUUAACCCUUUAAGUGGCA